rnacentral:rRNA from 2 species
UGCAGUCGAGCGCACUGGCCCAACAGAAAUGACGUUGGCUUGCACUGAUUUGACGUUGGAUUCCCAGUGACGGCGGCGGACGGGUGAGUAACACGUGGGCAACCUGCCCCAAAGCGGGGGAUAACAUUUGGAAACAGGUGCCCUAAUACCGCAUAACUUGGAAAACCACAUGGUUUUCCAAUAAAAGAUGGUUUCGGCUAUCACUUUGGGAUGGGCCCGCGGUGCAUUAGCUAGUUGGUGAGGUAACGGCUUACCAAGGCGAUGAUGCAUAGCCGAGUUGACGAGACUGAUCGGCCACAAUGGAACAUGAGACACGGUCCAUACUCCUACGGGAGGCAGCAGUAGGUCUUGGAAUCUUCCACCAACCUCAGAAAUGAGGCGCAAGCCUGAUGGACGCAACACCGCGUGAGUGAAGAAGGGUUUCGGCUCGUAAAACUCUGUUGUUGGAGAAGAACGUGCGAUAAGAGUAACUGUUGUUACGCAGUGACGGUAUCCAACCAGAAAGUCACGGCUAACUACGUGCCAGCAGCCGCGGUAAUACGUAGGUGGCAAGCGUUAUCCGGAUUUAUUGGGCGUAAAGCGAGCGCAGGCGGUUGCUUAGGUCUGAUGUGAAAGCCUUCGGCUUAACCCGAAGAAGUGCAUCGGAAACCUAAGGGCGACUUGAGUGCAGAAGAGGACAGUGGAAACUCCACUGUGUAGCGGUGGAAAUGCGUAGAUAUAUGGAAAGAACACGCAGUGGCGAAGGCGGCUCCGGGUCUGGUCUGCAACUGACGCUGAGGCUCGAAAGCAUGGGUAGCGAAAAGUCG